rnacentral:lncRNA from 1 species
GGAAAGGUUGGAGUUGUUUUAAUUGAUAAUUCAUUCUUUUCUGUUCCGUCACAAAGCUGACAGGGAUGAAAAAUAUUAUACAAAUGAAUAAAUAAAUAAUGUGUUAUCAUCUUUAAUUAUAAUUCCUUGCCUUCUAUGUUAAAAAAAUUCCUUUUGUAUGAGAUUUGGGUAAAGCAAUAAAUAUAAUGGAUGAUUUGCAUCAUGUGGCAUUAUUCCUAAUUAUUAAUUUUGCAUGCUUGAAGAACUUUAAUAUUAUGUUUGGAUUAGAGGAAAUAAAUGACCGAAGUGGGGCAAAAUGAAAAUAAUGUUAUGAUACUAGGUUUCACUGAACAUGAUGGACUUAUGGCCGGUCUGGUGUGUGAACUGUUGAAUCUGUCGAAUUGGGUUAAGUACUAUUCGAACCAGCUAGAACAUCUCAAACCAGGCUGAUCGGUUCAACACAGCCCUGGGUCAAUUUGGUAUAUUUGUUAAAAAAAUCCAGUUAGUCCAGCAGAAACUGAACCUGCAUGCCUAAUUAUGAGGGCUGCAUGUUAAACCACUACGCAAAACUUCUCAUUUGGUUGCACUAAUUUUAAGAUAUACACUUAAACUAAUUACAAAAAAAAUCAGAUUGGCUGCUAAAAACAUGUAUUAUAUGAUAUGAAAGAUAUUAUAAUUUUAAAAAGUUUAGAACAUGGACUCGCAGACACACACAACCGGUUCAACACGGACUCAUUACUUUAACUAAGUUGAUGAUUAAGUUGAGUUUAAUACCUUUACCUAUUGGAAUGCAUUUCAUUCCUUUUUUCCCCCUUUCCAAUUUGGAGGAUAUGGCAUUGAACUAACAUUAUAUUUAUUACUAAAAACCUAUCCUAAACAUUAUAUUUAAUUACAUUUUGUUCCAUCCCAUUCCGUUGUGCAUUACACCCUGGAAUAUCCAAACCUAUCCUAAGAAAAAUGAAUGUGCAAUCUGUAAAAUUUAUUCAACAAAACAGUCUGAAAUUAUAGGCUUAACUACACAUUUGGUCCCUUACGUUUAUUUUAGGUUUCAAUUUGGUCCCUUACGUUUAAAAAGUAUCAAUUUGGUCCCUUACGUUUAUUUUAAGUUUCAAGUUAGUCCUUUCCGUUAGUUUUGUCACUAACACCGUUGGAACAGUACACGUGUCAGCGUGUCCAAGUGCCACGUGUCAGUCCACGUAUGCAAAUUGACUGCCACAUGUGACAAAAUUGACGGAAAGGACCAACUUGAAACCUAAAAUAAACGUAAGGGACCAAAUUGAUACUUUUUAAACGUAAGGGACCAAAUUGAAACCUAAAAUAAACGUAAGGGACCAAAUGUAUAGUUAAGCCUAAAAAUAAAAUACAAAUUUAAUAGAAAUAUAUAUAAAAAAACAGUGUGAUCUUAACUGUUGAUCAGAACAGGUAGAAGGCCAGCUGGAAGUCCGUUGAGCAGGUGGUA